GGUUUCUCUGUGUAGCCCUGGCUGUCCUGGAACUCACUUUGUAGACCAGGCUGGCCUCGAACUCAGAAAUCCACCUGCCUCUGCCUCCCAAGUGCUGGGAUUAAAGGCGUGCGCCACCACCACCCG
rnacentral:miRNA from 1 species